AACAAAGUACUCAUCCCUUUCUCUUCAAAUUGUCCCCAACGAUGUUGCCGGUGGUAUUUCAAGCUCCGAUUUCUCCUUCUCUGGGUUUUGUUCUAGCUAAAUCCAUGGUGGAAAGAAUGAUAUUGUUGCAUGCCUUUUGUUUCUUUCACCUCGUUUGCCAAAGAAUCAGACACUGAGUUCCCUUCCCUAGAUGUAUGUGUAACAGUGACAUUUAGCUUCUGAAUGAAUAGUCCGAGCUCCUCAAUAAUAUCAACAAGCUCCCAAGGUAUUUUGCAAUGCAUCAGAAUCAUUUGCUUAAGGCUUAACGAGUCUGUCUCUAUGAUGAAAUUUGUAAAAUGUUUCUCAUAAUAGUACUCUAAAUCCUCUUUAAUAGCAAUAGAUUCCACUUCUGUGUUUGUACCUAGCCCUAAGCCUUUAGCUCUAGCAUACACAAGAUCUCUUUUUUUUCUCUUAUGCAAAACCCAUAUGAACUCAUCCUCGAAUUUCCCCUACAAGCUCCAUCCGUGUUGCAUUUUAACUGCAUGGAUUCUGGUUUCUUCCAUACCACCUUUUGAUAAUGUAAUCUUGGCCUAUAUGUACUCAUAGUGUCCACCACUCCUGGCCAUGUACAAUCCUUCAAAUUUAUCCACGGAUACAAAUUCUUGAUCAUCUUCUUUAUCACCUCUUGGACCUGCAAAACCAUCCCAUUAAAAGAAAUGGACCCUCCAUGUUUUAUAGAAUUCCUCCUAUUUCAUAUUGUCCACAUGAUUAUAGCUGGUACAACUCUGAAAAUCUUGUUCAGUUUUGAUUCUGACUCAUUUAUCCACCAUAAUAUAAUCAUCUUUUGUAGUUGUGUAUUGUCCACCUUAAUUCCUGCAAAAUGAGCAAACUGCCUCCAAAGCUUGAAAGCUAAGGGGUCUGUUAGUAAAACAUGUGUCAUGGUUUCCUCCCUUUUAUCUUCACAACACUAGUAUUUUGAUACCAACUGAAUCUCCAUUCUCUUUAAGUUAUUUAAGUUAUCAUCUGUAGGAAUCCUUUUCAACCAUACCCUCCAUAAGAAGAAAUUAUAUUUAAAAGGUAAACCCUUAUUCCAUAUGAAUUCAUAAUAUCUCUUUUCCUCCUUUUUUUUCCUGAUGAUCUCCUAGGCAGAUUUCACAGUAAACUGGCCACUUGUAUUUCUCAUCAACCAUGGUCUAUCAUUCUGAUGUUCCUCAACUACAGGCUUUACUAUCUCUAGAUUCAAAUCCACUAUGUCUUCAGAUAAACAUGAUAACAAUAGUUGCUUGUCCCACUUCCCAUUUUUGAUAAAAUUCGUCACCUCUAUCUCCUCAUCCUGGAAAGACUCCCCUUCCACAUAAUACAAAGCACCCUGUUUUAUCCAAUUAUCAUACCAAAAUGAUACGGGAAAAACAACAGAAACACGAAACAACUCCAAAACAGUCCACUAAUCUUAAGGAUUUGAGGACUAAGAUGGAGACCACUCUCGGAUUCCCUACAACAACAACAAUACGAGAUAACAACGGUGCAUUUGACAUCAAACACUGCAGCAACUCAAUGCUAACAAGAUGAACACAAUGAAAACAAAUUUUGGAUUCACUAAGGACACAAAACAGUCCACUAUAAAUCUACAAAGUGCAAUAAGAUAAAGAUAGAUAGAUAGACCAAAUGAGGGAAUAAUAUUAACAACACGAGAAUUGUUACACCCUUGGACCUUUAAUACUAUACACAACACUAACCUUACGUAGGCACAAGAGGGAUCUCGAUCUCCCAAGGACCAAUGUUUCCAAGCUUGAAUCCAACACGAGUGAUUCCACACUCAAGUUGAUUUCCCUAGUUACAAUUUCAGAUUUGUGCCUCAAGGAGAGAGGACUUGUCUUUCAAUGUUAUACAACAUUUAUCAUCAUCAAAAUCUAAUGAAUGAAUCCCUAGAAGGUUGUAUUUAUAGUGUAUUACAAAAAUAGUGUGAAAUGUCCAAAAUGACUCCUUACUCAAAGUCUUCAAGUGGGCUCCCUUGGAGUGCAUUGUAUGGACUGAUUUUGGAGCCUAGUUAGGCCUUCCUUUGCACUUCACGUGUAUACUCCAAGUCUCGGGUUUAUUCACUCUCGUACUCACCCACCUCCGUGGUCGUACCCGUAUCAUCCUUCCCUUCUUGAAAAGGAUUCAACCUCGAAUCCGUACCUUGCAAAAUCAAGAGAAGACAAACAAACACAUAUCCUCAUGACAUGAGGGGUUAGGGUUAGCAAAAAUAACACAUCACAUGCCAUGCCAAUGUGGGACAAACUUGGAGUAUACCCACGGGUCCUUUGUGUUGAACAUGAAAACCUUAGUAUAAAUGGCACAAAGGAAGAGGUCAUCAUCAACAAAAAGAGACAAGGAAGAACCUUGCCUCCCUUUAUUAGCACCCACAAUCAAACAUUGUUUGUCGUCUUGACCAAGCAUCAAGUAGGAAGUGUAGAAAUUCCCACAUUUUCGGAGGGUGCCGGGGUCAAAUGGGAGAAUUAGCCAAGGGUCUAAGCCGAGGUUAGCCCUUCCUUCCCCUAGAAUGUCACUCCCACAACCACGUAUGACAUUUACCUUUAAGAGAAGACUAACAUUCAAGAAUAGAGAGACACGACCUAGAAGUCCUACCUCAAAAAAACAUAUGCCAUCAUUUACAAUAUUUCCAUACACAUGAUCUCUGUGAACAAAACUACUAGCAAGGCUUUUACCACACAAGAUGUUCAAAGAGUCACGUGCACCAUCAAGAUCAAUUCUAUAAACACCAUCACUAACUUGAUAUUUUUUAAGCACGCCACACAAUGCUCAAGUAGUGGAAUACAUUCAUGAGUAAGUUGAUCUUCAUUCACAUCCUCAUUAGUUGUUGGCAACUCACAUUACUAACGUAGACUCACCUUGGUUAGCACAAGGGUCAACUAGUGUGUGAUUACUCUUGUCAAUUGGUAAUAGAACCUUGUUCAAGUUAUAAGGGCUAGCACUAGAUGGACAUAAAUCAUUCUUACAAGAAGAAUCAAUUUCGUCAUCUAAAGGAUCAACUAGUGCUUGCGUACUUACAACAAGAGUUUGGUCCNNNNNNNNNNNNNNNNNNNNNNNNNNNNNNNNNNNNNNNNNNNNNNNNNNNNNNNNNNNNNNNUAGUGUUUUUACCUCGUAACUCACAUGAGCUACGACCUUCCUCUUGACGUGUGUCCGGGCAGCCCACUUGCUCCCUUUGACCUAUCAUACAAGCCAACGUUUCAUUUUCCAUAACUAGGUCUCGGGACAUAGUGUCAAGGUAGGCUAAAAUGACAUUGGUGGCAUUGUUAUCCAUGGGUUGAGAGGUGAAAGUCGCGGAUUUCCUUGUAAUUGUACCUAAAAAAAAGAAAGAAAAGAACACCUACAAACAAAAGACAAGUAAGUUUGAAACAACCUCACCACACUCCCGCACACUUGAUCAUCUCACACUUGGUUUCACAAGUGUUGAAAACCAGCUUGUACUUCGUGAGUGAUUGAGGGUCGAGUCUACUCUUGCCCAGAAUAGAUUUUUGUUUGAGUUGACUCAAGCAAAAUUUGUUACGGACUUGAACCAACAAGAUACAAUGAUUUCACAAAAGAGAAAAGCACACAACAAAUGCGUAACACGAAUGAACGAACACAAAAACUAACUAACAAUCUAGUAGAUAAGUACUAGUUUGCCAAUUAGUAUUGGAACCAACGAAAUUGAAACUAAGAAACAACAAACGGAAACUAAGAAAUCUAAAAUUUGAGCUUAAAUAUGUUGCGUGAACAGUAAAAUAUGAUGAUGUGGCAGCCACGUAUUGGUCUCGGUUGCACAUAACUUUUGUUGUCCAAUUUCAAGUCUUGGUCAAUUUUUCAAUUUGGACUUUGGUGGAACUUGUUCAAUGGAGGGAAAUACAAAGUAGUCUUUAGAGCUUUUUUUUCAAUUAAAAUUUCAAGACUUGAAGUCUUGGACUAGACUUGUACUCCUCAUUAAAACAUGGAUCCUUGUUUUAUGGAAAAGUGGUUGAGAUGUGAUUGACUUGUUGAUGAGUGAUGGUAAGUCUUCCAAAACUAACAAAGUUUCACCUUUUUCCCUUCACCUUUAUGAUCUAAGGUUCACUUUAUUUUAACAAGCUAUGAAGGUUGUGAAGAACUUUAAGAACAAAAUCAACAAUCACCAAGAACAACCAACAACAACAAUUUCAUACGACUCGAAGUCCUAGAACACCAACAAUUUCACACGGCCAACUUCCAAUUUUCACAAUACAAUAGCUUCAACACUUGGCCAAGACAAUUACAACUUCAACAAAAUGGUUCUUAGGCCACCAAUGAACAACAAUAUCACGUGGACAAGCUUAUAACAACAACAAGAUGAAGGCCACAAGGCUAAAACAGUCCACCACAACAAUGUUCAACAACAAAUCGGUCAAGUUCAAGUUCACGACUAUAACUUCAACAAAUACAAGCUCAAACUUAGAUUUAGACUCAAAGUGUUAUUGGAGAACAAAACUAACACUAGAAACACUCAAGACAAGUAAAAAUCUCGGCCAAGACACAAAAAGAACACAAUUUUUGAUCAAGAACACAAAAUGGACAGAUUGUUCUUUUUCUGAAAUUUUAGAUUUUUUUUUUUGAUUUUUCAAGUGAGCUAGCCCAAGAUUUGAUCUUGUAGGAACAAGAUCAAGCUAUUCUUUGAUACCAAAUGAUAUGGGAAAAAUAAUGAAAACCUAAAACAACUCCAAAACAAUCCACUAAUCUUAAGGAUUUGAGGACUAAGAUAGAGACCACUCUCGGAUUCACUACAACAACAACAAUACGAGAUAACAACGGUGCAUUUGACACCAAACACAGCAGCAACACAAUGAUGACAAGAUGAACACAAUGAAAACAAAUUUUGGAUUCAAGAAGGACACAAAACAGUCCACUAUGAAUCUACAAAGUGCAAUAAGAUAAAGAUAGAUAGAUAGUCCAAAUGAGGGAAAAAUAUUAACAAACCAAGAAUUAUUACACCCUUGGACCUUUAAUACUACACACAACACUAAACUAUCUCCUACAUAGGUACAAGGGGGAUCUCAAUCUCCCAAGGACAAACAUUUUCAAGCUUGAAUCCAACACGAGUGAUUCCACACUCAAGUUGAUUUCCCUAGUUACAAUUUCAGAUUUGUGCCUCAAGGAGAGAGGACUUGUCUUUCAAUGUUAUACAACAUUUAUUAUCAUUAAAAUCUAAUGGAUGAAUCCCUAGAAGGUUUUAUUUAUAGUGUAUUACAAGAAUAGUGUGAAAUGUCCAAAAUGAUCCCUUAGUCAAAGUCUUCAAGUGGGCUCUUUUGGAGUGCAUUUUAUGGACUGAUUUUGGAGCCUAGUUAGGCCUUCCUUUGCAUUUUACGUGUACACUCCAAGUCUCGGGUUCAUUCACUCUCGUAUUCAUCCACCUCCGUGGUCGUACCCAUAUCACAAAAGCUUGAAUUACCAAUUGUUACCUAUCACCAUAUAUUAUGUUCCACCUCUUCCCUUAAUAUAGAAAUUAUUUUCCUUCAUACAUGUGAUGCUCCAGUUCCUUUAGUUAAUAAAGGAUGUAACUUUUUUCAAUACUUAUUCCACAUAUAUGAACUCCACAUCGAAGAUGUGUAUGUUCUAAACUCUACCAAAUUUUUGCAAAAAGUGUCUUGGACAUAUCAUGUAACAGUCUAAAUUUAAGUCCACCUUCAUUUUUAGGAUAACACAUUAGCUGCCAAGAGACCCAAUGCUUAUUUUCCGAGCCAAUAACAUUACCCCAGAAGAACUUUGGAAAAAUCUUGUAUAGUUGGUUAGCUACACUCACUGGAGGAUUUAUAGCAGACAGAAUAAAUAUGGGCAUAAACUGUAAUACAUGAACAAUUAGAAUAUAUUUUCCCCCAUAAGAAAGAAGUCUAUUCUUUUAUGAAGUUAAUAUCUUCAUCACAUUUUUCAUUAGAUCAUUAUAAUGUUCUUUAUUCUUUCUGCCAUAAAAAAUUGGACAAUCAGGUAAGUGAAAGGAAACUUACCUUGGUUUAUCUUAGUUAUCCCUUUUAUGCUAUUGCUCACAGUUGUAGGAACCUUAUCAUUCAAAUAGAGUAAACUUUUGUCUAAAUUGAUCAUUUGACCAGAGGUGUACUCAUAUUUCCUCAAAAAUGUCAUCAUUUUCUUCAUCGAUGAUGGUUGUCCAGAGCAAAAUAGGAUAGUAUCAUCAACAUAUGAUAAGUGGUUAAUGUUAGGGAUCCACUUAGGCAUUCCAUAUCCUCUGAAAUUUGGAUCAUUAAACAACUCAUUUAGACUUCUUAGUAAGACUUCAGUUGAGAUAAUAAACAAGAUUGGUGAUAAAGGGUCUCCCUGCUUUAUACCUCUUGAUGAAUGAAAGAAACCAUAAUACUGGCCAUUCAAAACCACUGAAUACUAAUUGUUACUAAUCAAUCUAACCACCAUAUCAAUAAGUCUUUCAUAAAAGCCAAACCUUCUCAACACCUCAACAAGGUACUUCUAGGAGACGCUAUUAUAGAACUUUGCAAUAUCCAAAUUCACAACCACAUUGUGAAGCUUUUCCUUUCUAUUAAUAUCUAUAAUAAUCUCCUGAGCUAAUAAAAUAUUUUCUUUUAUGCUUCUCCCUUUAACAAAACCAGCCUGAUUAUUAGAGAUAAUAUUAGGAAACACCUCCACCAUUCUCAUAUGGACCAUCUUGGAUAUAAUUUUACUAAAAAAAGUGCUAAGACUAAUGGGUCUUCAAUCACCUAAGGUAUUCACUACUUCCUUCUUUGGAAUCAACAUAAGAUUAGUAUGAGUAAUGUACCUAGGUAAUUCACCUCCACAAAAGAAAGUUUUCACCAAAUUAGUAAUGUCCUCUCCAACUGUACUCCAACAACACUGAAAAAAUUGACCUGAAAAACCAUCAGGUCCACUUACAGACUCCCCAUUCAAAGAAAAAAACAACUUGAUUGACCUCUUCUAUUUCAGGCAUUCUUACUAGUCUGUCAUUUUGCUCCUCAGAAAUACUUUUCUUAAUACAUCAUAGCAUAUCAUAGUUAAGAGUUACCUGAGUCUCUUUAAAUUGUACCAUGAAAAUCUGCACUGCCUCCUCUUCAAUGUUUUGAGCUAAUGUGAUAAUGUAUCCUUGCCUUGUCUGAAUUUCCAUAACUUGCAACCUCCUCCUCAUUCAUUUCACAUAAGAGUGAAAGAAUUUUUUAUUUCUAUCUCCAUCUGUAAAUCAUUUCAUCCCUGCCUUUUGUUUCCAAUACUCUCCCUCUAUUUUCCUUAGCCUCUUUAAAUCUGCUUCUGCUUUAUUUAAUUUAGCUCUAUUCUCUGGAGUUGGCUGUAUCUCUAGUUGUACUUCCUUUACUUUUAUAACAUCUUCCAACGUGGAUACCUUUUGAAAUAUAUCUCCAAAAGUCUCCCUACUCUAAACAACAAGUGUUGAUUUCACCUUUUUCAACUUUUCAUGUACUACUUGAAAUGAAGACCCAAAGAUGUUUUCACUCCAAGUUUUAUUCACUAUCCCAUGAAAAUAUUUAUACUUGGUUCAAAAAUUUAAGAACCUAAAAGAUUUUCUCACAUGUGCCUAUGCAGUAUUACCAAUGACAUGAAGAAGUGCAUGGUCUGAGCCCUGCCUAAUAAGAUGAUUAACUUCAGCAUAACCUGCAUAAGAUCAUAGUUACCAAAAACCCUGUCAAACCUUUUAAAGAUACAGUCAUCUUGAAUUCUUCCAUUCCACCAAGUGAAUCUGCUUUCUGUGUAUCUUAAUUCAUUCAAUGCACAAGUGUUCAUACAUUGAAAAAAAUCAAGAGUCUCCUGUUGGGUCACUGGGAGACCUCCUAAUUUUUCAGAAUCAUCCAUUAUCACAUUAAAGUUGCCACCAACAAGCCAAGGGUUGUGAGUGUUACUAAUAAUUUCCUCCAAAUCCUCCCAUACUCUAAUCUCUCUAAGUGACUACAUCUAGCAUACAUUGCAGUUACUUUAAAAACAUCUACUUCUCCUCUCAGUUUGUACUCCAUUGUUAAUUGUUGUAUAGAAUCUGUGGUUCUAAUUUCUUCCCAUUCCUCAUCCCAAAAGACCCAAAUUUUAUCUGAAUAACUUGCUUUAGCAUGUGCUACAUCUAGUCUUCUUCUGUAAUCCUCUAAUUCUGAUGGGCUUUGAAAAGGUUCCAUUAAAGCAAUGUAAGAGUAGUGAUUCCUUUUAUGAAGGUCUAUUAGUCUCUCAAAUGAGCUUUGAGUUCUAAUAGAUCUAAUAUUUUAGAAUAGCACCUUAUUAAUCAUUGAUCACCACUAGAUUUGAAACCUGGCUUACUCCCUGUAUUAAUUUGUGACUUGACACCGGUGUUUUUGUAAUCUUUUCUAUUUUUCCUUUUAACUGGCCAAUUUGUCUUGGAGAUAAAUCUUUAUCCCUACCAAUUUGAUCUAUAUUAGCUUCCAUUUCUACAUUCUCUUCAUGGUCUUGCUUAUGUUGUUUCUCCUACUGUGUGAGGUUCUGGAUUUUAGGCACCUCAAUAUCCCCUCUUCUUUCUACUUUAUUUUCUGAUAUCUCUGCAACAUGAUCUUUAUUACUAUUCCUGUUUUUUGUAACUUUCUUUCCUUCUACUUGAUUAUGUACAUUUUUUAGUAAAUCAACUGUAUCCUAAUCAUCGUUAUCUCUUUCCUGAUCUUUUACUGAACUUUGUGACUCUUUCUGUAGUUCUCCUCUUUUGGUACACUUAUUACUGCACUUUUGUGGAGUUGAUUCCUUGUUAUCUUGCUUCCUUUUGGUAUUCAGAGUAUGCCCAUCUUCCUGAGUGUUUUGUUCUUUGCCAGUUAUUUCUUUGUGUUAUUACCAUCUAUUUUCUCUUGUUAGCAGUAUCUUCUGCAUCUUUCUCCUCCAGUGGUCCAAACCUGGUAUUUACUGCUAUAUCCGCAUCUUUCGAUGUUGUUCCUUCUGAUUCCAUCUCAUCUCCUAUUUUCUUCUAUGAUUCCAUCUUCUUUUCACCUAUUUCCUCUUUUGUUUCUGAAAUUCUUCUUCUUCUGUACCCUUGGCUUUACUUUUGUCUUCUGUAUUUGCCAAUUUUUCUUUGUUCUUGGCUUGUCCUCUCUGCGAUUCCGUAUCCUCUUGUUCAUCCACCUCCUCAUUGUCUUCCUUUGGAUAUAAUUCGGGAUGAAUGAAAUAGCAUUCCUUCUCAUUAUGCCCCUGUAAUUUGCAUUCCUUACAGUAUUUUGGCACGUAAUCAUAUUUGAUGUGAAUCCACUUCUCUACAACUUCUCCUGUCUUUUUCCGUAUCUCAAUAUUGAUCUUUUUAGGAAAAUCCCCUAAUAGAUCAACUUCCAGUUUAACUCUCGCACAACUUGAUCUUGUUUUGUUCUGUGUAGCUAAAUCUACCUGCAAAGGAUUCCCAACAGCAUCUGCCAAUGAGAAUACCGCUUCUUUUGCAAAGCAAUUCGGAGGUAGUGAUGGAAAGGAUAUCCAUCUAACUGCAUAAGUGGUUUCUUCCUCAGGAUUGAACAUUGGAUCCCAUUUCAACGUUCUCAUAGGAUAUGACCAGAAAUUCUUUGUGAUAUAGAACUGAGGUUUAGAUAAAAGAUGCACAUAAUCUUCAAUCUUUGUAGCUCUUAUUAAAAUAUGUCUAUUACUCAAUAAACCAAUGUUGAUCUCUCCCUUUAGCUCGCAUUGUUUUGGAAUUAAAUGUCUCAGAUCUUGUAUAUCUGGCCAGCCAUAUGGGAAUUUUUCAAUAACCGCAUAUUGUAAAUCUUCUUUUAUAAUCAUUUGAUUUGCCUCAUCUUACUCCCAAAUAAUACGUGGUUCCCCAUGCAAGUAUGAUAUCUCUUUCAAUGGAAGUUGCAUAGCAGGCUUAUUAAGUGAUUGUAA
rnacentral:lncRNA from 1 species